GUAGCGUGAAGGAUGACUGCCUAUGGGUUGUAAACUUCUUUUAUAUGGGAAUAAGUGGUCCACGUGUGGACUUUUGUAUGUACCAUAUGAAUAAGGAUCGGCUAACUCCGUGCCAGCAGCCGCGGUAAUACGGAGGAUCCGAGCGUUAUCCGGAUUUAUUGGGUUUAAAGGGAGCGUAGGCGGAUUGUUAAGUCAGUUGUGAAAGUUUGCGGCUCAACCGUAAAAUUGCAGUUGAUACUGGCAGUCUUGAGUGCAGUAGAGGUGGGCGGAAUUCGUGGUGUAGCGGUGAAAUGCUUAGAUAUCACGAAGAACUCCGAUUGCGAAGGCAGCUCACUGGAGUGUAA
rnacentral:rRNA from 1 species